UUAGCAGAGCAAACUCUCCCCAACACCUCGAUGAGUAAAUCAGGGUAGUGGGGAAGUGCAUGGCACCAGGGAAAACGGAAAGGGAAGCUGCAGCAUGUGAUUUUGCAUCUGACCAGCCACGCUUGGCCAUGAGACUCAAGUGCUUUCAGCUCUGAGGAGACGGAGGGGAGGAUGGAUUGUGCCUGGAGUAAGCCUGGGCCCUGUCAAAGUUCCCCGAGAGACUAAUGAUCUGCAAAAUCUGGGUUCUGGGAUGCCUUGCGGCAGUGAUGUCAGCAAUAGCAUCUCUCAAACUGCCUGAAGAGGAAAGGGAAAAUCAGCACAAGAAAAAUGUAUCUGUGACACAGAGCUGCCUGGGAGGUUUCCUACCAGGGUCCUCCCUGAUGCUGGAGCAGGAAAAGAUGCUGCAUCAGUGAUGUGAUUGAGUUUCCCUUUCAUGGUGUAGGUAUCUGUUUCAGAGCCUCGGCAGAGGAUGCUGCAAUGGGUCCUGUUUGUCCUGCUCGCGCAUUGAGGGAGGGCAGCCAUGCAGGAGCUGCAGAGGCUCAUCCUGCCUCAGGCUGCUCUGUGAUGCAUCAGCAUGUGUGGGACAAGCACGGCUUCAGGCUGCUUUAUUUCCUGACCUCAGUGGAGAAGAGGGAAAGGAAAAGGCGAGUCACAGCUACAUGCUGUGGGAUUCCCUCCUUCUGUUUUGGAAAAGAAAUUGCAGAAGGGAGUCAUAGAGCCAGGGAAAAAGAGUGAGGUGUUUUUUGUGCUUUUGAUUCAAAGCCUGCAGUCUGCCUUGUGUGGUUCUGCUUGGUUCCAGUGGGUGUGAGAUUGGACCAGAGGUUAUUUUCAAAAAAGGGGUGUGAGGGGUGUGCAGAAAAUUCCUUUACAAGAGAAGGUCCUGCAUCACAGGGAAACCUCUCCACCACAUACUGUGAGGAAUGAUGUCCAGCUGGAGAUCCCUAUUGCAGGGAAGCAUGAAGAGGUGACGUGUUCUGUUAGGGAAAGGGAGAGUUUUCAAGUAUUUGUUUUUUAUUUAAAAAAUUACAGAGCUGCUCUCUAUAAAAACCUUUCCAGUUUUAAAUGGAAACAUUUCAAUCCAGCUUAUGCUAGAGGUGAGGGCUCUGACCCUCAGGAGCUUCCAUAUGGGGAUGAGGAUCAGGAGCACAAUCCUUAUAGACAUGGCUAGAUAUAGCUAUAAAAUGGGGCAUAGCAUGUGUUCAAUAUUCUGUAAAAUACACAAGAUAGCAAAGAUUAGGGAAUCCUCUCCUCUCCAGCUCUCUUGUGCCCAAAACCCACUUCAUGAAUGUAGCAAUAAUUGACCAGAGCCCACCAGAGUAAAACCACUCACCCAUUAAUAACCCAGCCCAACAAAACUGAGAUGCUUUGUUAUAGACGAUGAUUUUGCUUUUUCCUACAACACAAAUUGCUCCUAAGAACGAAGAUGGCUUGUACACUUUAAUGCGCAUUGCUCAUUUCUUCAUUAUAUUUCCAGUGUGUGCCCUUGGGUGGAGUCUACUCAUCUGCAACAUCUCUGCUCUCCCCCCAGACCAACCGCUGCGUGCCAGAGGCUGGUGCUCAUCCCAGCUUCCAGUGUGUGCAGCAUCAGUGGAACAUGAAUCAUGGCUGGUGUUUGGGCUCUGUAGACAAAGUUUCAGAUUUCCAGCUCUUCUGUCUGAUUGUGACAGUGCUCUUAUUUACCUUUCUGUUUUCUUCCAAAAAAAAAAAAAAAGGGUUAAGGCAGGAGAAAGAAAAGUUCACCCAGAAAUGAACCAUAAAUGUCCACCUCUCAGUUGUACAUAAAACUUAUUUUGCACUUAUUUCCUAAAAUAACUUCUUUUUUAAGAACUUUUUAAAAGAAAGAAACCCAAACUUAUUGAAACUCAUGGGCAGAGAAUUCAUUUGGUUCACAUUGAUGGUCUCCUUCAGGCUAAUGGCUGAAUUUGGCUUUAGAAAAACUGCGUUACUGUUAGGGGUUUGUCUUGCAUGAACAGUAAAUAGACUUUCAAUGGCCAAGAUUCUUUGUGGUAACUCAUCAUAAAUCAAUGUAAGGAACAAUAUCAAAAAGUAAAAAUGGUAUUUUGCCACUGUG